ensembl:lncRNA
GUGAGAGAGUCACAGGAGUUACAGGUGAGAGAGUUACAGGUGAGGGAGUUACAGGAGUUACAGGUGAGAGAGUCACAGGAGUUACAGGUGAGAGAGUCACAGGAGUUACAGGUGAGAGAGUCACAGGAGUUACAGGUGAGAGAGUUACAGGUGAGGGAGUUACAGGAGUUACAGGUGAGAGAGUCACAGGAGUCACAGGUGAGAGAGUCACAGGAGUUACAGGUGAGAGAGUCACAGGAGUUACAGGUGAGAGAGUCACAGGAGUUACAGGUGAGAGAGUCACAGGAGUCACAGGUGAGAGAGUCACAGGAGUUACAGGUGAGGGAGUCACAGGAGUUACAGGUGAGAGACACAAAACAGUCACAUGACAUGUGUGACUUCACCAACACUGCUCACACUCUAGUUACCUGAGCUGAUGGACAGGUGAGGGAGUUAGACGGGAUGGAUUUACAGGAGGUCAAGGUGAGGGAGUUACAGGUGAGAGAGAGAGUC